CACUAUCGUUAACUGAAUACAUAGGUUAACGAGGCGAACCGGGGGAACUGAAACAUCUAAGUACCCCGAGGAAAAGAAAUCAACCGAGAUUCCCCCAGUAGCGGCGAGCGAACGGGGAGCAGCCCAGAGUCUGAAUCAGCUUGUGUGUUAGUGGAAGCGUCUGGAAAGUCGCACGGUACAGGGUGACAGUCCCGUACACGAAAAUGCACAGGUUGUGAACUCGAAGAGUAGGGCGGGACACGUGGUAUCCUGUCUGAAUAUGGGGGGACCAUCCUCCAAGGCUAAAUACUCCUGACUGACCGAUAGUGAACCAGUACCGUGAGGGAAAGGCGAAAAGAACCCCGGCGAGGGGAGUGAAAAAGAACCUGAAACCGUGUACGUACAAGCAGUGGGAGCACCUUCGUGGUGUGACUGCGUACCUUUUGUAUAAUGGGUCAGCGACUUAUAUUCUGUAGCAAGGUUAACCGUAUAGGGGAGCCGAAGGGAAACCGAGUCUUAACUGGGCGUUAAGUUGCAGGGUAUAGACCCGAAACCCGGUGAUCUAGCCAUGGGCAGGUUGAAGGUUGGGUAACACUAACUGGAGGACCGAACCGACUAAUGUUGAAAAAUUAGCGGAUGACUUGUGGCUGGGGGUGAAAGGCCAAUCAAACCGGGAGAUAGCUGGUUCUCCCCGAAAGCUAUUUAGGUAGCGCCUCGUGAAUUCAUCUUCGGGGGUAGAGCACUGUUUCGGCUAGGGGGCCAUCCCGGCUUACCAACCCGAUGCAAACUACGAAUACCGAAGAAUGUUAUCACGGGAGACACACGGCGGGUGCUAACGUCCGUCGUGAAGAGGGAAACAACCCAGACCGCCAGCUAAGGUCCCAAAGUCAUGGUUAAGUGGGAAACGAUGUGGGAAGGCACAGACAGCCAGGAUGUUGGCUUAGAAGCAGCCAUCAUUUAAAGAAAGCGUAAUAGCUCACUGGUCGAGUCGGCCUGCGCGGAAGAUGUAACGGGGCUAAACCAUGCACCGAAGCUGCGGCAGCGAC
rnacentral:rRNA from 1 species